CCCGUCACAUCACGAAAGUGGAUUGUACUAGAAGUCUGCGCGCUAACCCGCAAGGGAGGCAGCGGCCCAAGGUAUGAUUCAUGAUUGGGGUG
rnacentral:rRNA from 1 species